AUUUUUCCUACUAAUUGACAAAUACUUUACUCGGCGUCAAGAAUGUUUCUUCUUCAUUAUGAAUGAAAAUGUUACUUGUUAUGCAUUAUGUCGCAUUUAGGAAAGACAAUAAAUUAUUAUGCAAACUCAGCUGUAUUAUAUGUAUCAUCAAAAAUAUUGCAAUUAAAAGUCCAUGUAAAUAUAUAGAGUAUAGGUAGCCUUUUGCUCAAAUUCAGUCAACAUUGAAAAGAAUAACUGGGUACUAGUCCUAAGCUAAUACCAUCUGCUAAUUAAAAGGACAGCUGUGUGAUCAAGUCCAUGAUUAAAAGGACAGCUGUGUGAUCAAGUCCAUGAUUAAAAGGACAGCUGUGUGAUCAAGUCCUUGAUUAAAAGGACAGCUGUGUGAUCAAGUCCAUGAUUAAAAGGACAGCUGUGUGAUCAAGUCCUUGAUUAAAAGGACAGCUGUGUGAUCAAGUCCAUUAUUAAAAGGACAGCUGUGUGAUCAAGUCCAUAAUUAAAAGGACAGCUGUGUGAUCAAGUCCUGUAUUAAAAGGACAGCUGUGUGAUCAAGUCCAUUAUUAAAAGGACAGCUGUGUGAUCAAGUCCUGUAUUAAAAGGACAGCUGUGUGAUCAAGUCCAUGAUUAGAAGGACAGCUGUGUGAUCAAGUCCAUGAUUAAAAGGACAGCUGUGUGAUCAAGUCCAUGAUUAAAAGGACAGCUGUGUGAUCAAGUCCAUGAUUAAAAGGACAGCUGUGUGAUCAAGUCCAUUAUUAAAAGGACAGCUGUGUGAUCAAGUCCAUAAAUAAAAGGAUAGCUGUAUGAUCAAGUCCAUUAUUAAAAGGACAGCUGUGUGAUCAAGUCCAUUAUUAAAAGGACAGCUGUGUGAUCAAGUCCAUAAUUAAAAGGACAGCUGUGUGAUCAAGUCCAUGAUUAAAAGGGCAGCUGUGUGAUCAAGUCCAUAAUUAAAAGGACAGCUGUGUGAUCAAGUCCAUUAUUAAAAGGGCAGCUGUGUGAUCAAGUCCAUAAAUAAAAGGAUAGCUGUGUGAUCAAGUCCAUUAUUAAAAGGACAGCUGUGUGAUCAAGUUUUUGAUUAAAAGGACAGCUGUGUGAACACUGUCCGUUCCUUAGAUAAGCUGUAUUGUAUGUAAAAUGUAAUUUACCAGGGCUGCCUCUUAAACUAUUAAUACUGUAUACAAAUGAUACUGCUGGACGUUUUAUUUGUUUCAGGAAUUUGCAUCUACAACCGGAAACCGCAGCGAAGACCGUGGGACACGUUCUACACAGGAUGGCCGAGUGUUAACAACCACUGGGAACACCAGACGCAUCUAACCUAAUAUUAUUUAAUUAUUAAGUAUUACUCAUAUUAUAUAUUAAACCUCUUUUAUGAUUUCAAAAAGUAAAUAAAGUAAUUUAAAAAUAA